AAAUUUGCGUAGAAGAAAUAAUCCAAGUUUUAAAAAGUUCCACUUAGUGGUCAUUUCUGUGAAGAAAAUAAAUAGCGCUGGAUGACAGUUGAGACUUACGUGAUUCAAAGGCAGUUACGCGAAGCUCUGGGGAAGAGCUUUCCAGGAGAGGGAAUGGCAGGUGCACAAGCCCCAAGGUAAGAAAGGGAAAGGCUAAGACCAGAAGGCAGGCUGAUAUGGAGGAAUCUUCCAGAAGAAGUCCAAAGGAUGAACUGAGACUGGACUUGAGGCAGGACCUUGUGAGCCCAGAUGGAAGUGGCAAUUGCCAAGUGGAGAAUAAGAAGAAAUGGAAAA